rnacentral:rRNA from 1 species
UACAGAGGGUGCGAGCGUUGUUCGGAAUUAUUGGGCGUAAAGGGCGCGUAGGCGGUGCCACAAGUCACUUGUGAAAUCCCCGGGCUUAACUCGGGGCCUGCAGGCGAAACUGUGGUGCUGGAGUAUGGGAGAGGUGCGUGGAAUUCCCGGGUGUAGCGGUGAAAUGCGUAGAUAUCGGGAGGAACACCUGUGGCGAAAGCGGCGCACUGGACCAUAACUGACGCUGAGGCGCGAAAGCUAGGGGAGCAAACAGG